UACGUAGGGCGCAAGCGUUGUCCGGAAUUAUUGGGCGUAAAGAGCUCGUAGGUGGUUUGUUACGUCUGCUGUGAAAACCUAGGGCUUAACUCCGGGCCUGCAGUCGAUACGGGCAGACUGGAGUUCGGCAGGGGAGACUGGAAUUCCUGGCGUAGCAGUGAAAUGCGUAGAUAUCAGGAGGAACACCCGUGGCGAAGGCGGCCAUCUGGACCAGCACUGACGCUGAGGCACGAAAGCGUGGGGAGCAAACAGG
rnacentral:rRNA from 1 species